GUUCUGGCCUUACUGAAGAGGGAGCCGGGUCUUCUCAUUGAUCUUUUAGAGGAUGACACCGUCAUCAUGACGGGACUCCACCACCAUCACCUCCAGGUUCUUCAGGCAACAUAGUACCAUCAUGGUGCAGAUGUAGUUUCUGUAGAGAAAUGCCCACGGAGUUUGAAAAAAAUGUUGUGGUUGUAUUCCACAAAACUGUGUGAGCCAGAGAGAUCAAAUGAACCGUAUUGUUCUUGACCCUGAAGUGUUGGCAAUAGGACAGGCCUACUACAGGGAUAUGUUUGGAAGACAUCGCCAACGAGUUGAAGAUUACAAUAGAACCAUGCGACAUGCAGGAUAUUGCAAUUUUACACUUUGGAGACAUGGACAUUUGGGGGCUGGAAUCAGACGAGUGAUUCCUAGUUGCUGUGUUCUAGCUAUAAGGCGAAAAUUUCCUUCAGCCUCGGGACAGUACACAGGCUUUGUGCCUGCAUGUUUCGUUUGAGUUACAUUGUCAUUUAAGAGAUCUGACGAUUUUUGUGCCAUAUGUAAUUUACUCAGAGAAUAACCCAGUUUUUCAAAGCAUGGUCAAGACAGUCGUGUGAUUAUUCACCUAUACAGUGCCUUUAAAGACCGUGAAUAUAAAACCCUUAUGAAAGUUCUAGUUUAGGUCUUGGAGACUUUUUUUCACAUUCAACUACUGAUGUUUAUCAUUUGAGUUUGUUUGCUUAUGAUUGACACUUUUGAGAUACAGUUUGUAUUGUCUUUAGACUACAGGAAAUCAUGAUGAAUUUUCAAGUGCUGUUAUUUUCAACAUCUAAAAUAAAGCUGAAGUAACUACAGUCUGUCAGUAAUAUAUCAUUUAUUAAUAACAGUCAUGAGUUCUAUCUACAUAUCAAAAGCUUAACAAUGGUUAGUUAGUGUCUUGUAAAAAAGAAGGGUGUCUAAGAAGUUUUUGGAAUUUGUUUUCAAUACUGAAAAAUUCAUCAGACAUGCUAGUCACACACAGAUUAGGUAAACCAACAAACAUAACAGUUUUAUAGAAAUUAGUCUUUUGUUGUGUGCAUUUGUAUAAAGAAUUCAUUGUAAGCUUACAAAAAGUAACUCCACACAUACCGUAAAAUGAAACUGUUCCAUGAAUUUCUUAGACAUCCUUUGUAUUUUAUGAACAAGCAUAUUUAAAUUAAGCAAUUCUAUGCAAGAAAUGUAUGAAAAUAACACAAUUGUUUUCAUUUUUAUGCUGUUUCUAAGCAAUGGGACUGGCUAUGUUGGUCGGACAAUAGGUACAAAGAUUCAUGUGUUUCUAUAUAGAACUAU